rfam:Thermoanaerobacter pseudethanolicus ATCC 33223, complete genome.
GGUCAAGUGAGGUAAGGGCAUAUGGUGGAUGCCUCGGCACUUGGAGCCGAAGAAGGACGCGGCAAGCGGCGAAACGCUCCGGGGAGCCGCAAGCGGGCGAAGAUCCGGAGGUCUCCGAAUGGGGGAACCCACUCGAGGUAAUACUCGAGUAUCCACUGAUGAACACAUAGUCAGUGGAGGGGAACCGCGCGAACUGAAACAUCUAAGUAGCGCGAGGAAAAGAAAGAAAGGAAUCGAUUCCCUAAGUAGCGGCGAGCGAAAGGGGAGGAGCCCAAACCCGGCACUCAAGUGGACAUGGAAUUAUAGGCAAAAAAGAUGAUAUAAUACGUGUCCACUUGAGUGCCGGGGGUUAGGACCCACCGUAAAAGUGAGUGAGUACUCUAGGCGAACGGAUCUGGAAAGGCCGGCCGAAGAAGGUGAAAGCCCUGUAGUCGAAAGGGGAAAGCUUGCUGGUGGGGACCAGAGUACCACGGGAUAGGCGACCCUGUGGGAAGGCGGGAGGACCACCUCCCAAGGCUAAAUACUACCAAGUGACCGAUAGCGGAUAGUACCGUGAGGGAAAGGUGAAAAGAACCCCGGGAGGGGAGUGAAAGAGAACCUGAAACCAUAUGCCUACAAGCAGUCAGAGUCUGCCGUAAGGCAGAUGAUGGCGUACUUUUUGUAGAACGGGCCGGCGAGUUACGGUAGCAAGCGAGGUUAAGCGGUAAGCGGAGCCGAAGCGAAAGCGAGUCCGAAAAGGGCGAAAGUUUGCUGCUGUAGACCCGAAACCGUGCGACCUACCCAUGGCCAGGGUGAAGCCGGAGUAAGAUCUGGUGGAGGCCCGAACCACGUUGGCGUUGAAAAGCCAUGGGAUGAGCUGUGGGUAGAGGUGAAAUGCCAAUCGAGCACGGAGAUAGCUGGUUCUCCCCGAAAUAGCUUUAGGGCUAGCCUCAGGGUAGGACCUAUGGAGGUAGAGCACUGAAUGGGCUAGGGGCCAAGGAGGUUACCGAACCCUAUCAAACUCCGAAUGCCAUAGGUUAAUACCUGGGAGUCAGACUACGAGUGAUAAGAUCCGUAGUCGAGAGGGGAACAGCCCAGACCUCCAGCUAAGGUCCCAAAGGGCAUGUUAAGUGGUAAAGGAAGUGGGACUUCGAAGACAACCAGGAUGUUGGCUUAGAAGCAGCCAUACAUUUAAAGAGUGCGUAACAGCUCACUGGUCGAGAGGUCCUGCGCCGAAAAUGAACGGGGCUCAAACAUGCCACCGAAGCUGGGGCUAAACAGAAGUCAGAUGUGAGAGGUCAGAGGUGAGAAAAUGAUAAAGACGUAUAAGGAUCUCAGAAUAUAUCAACAAUCAUACAAGCUAAGCAUAGAGAUACACAAGCUAACCCAGAACUAUCCUGGGUAUGAAAGAUACGAAUUAGGGAGUCAACUAAGAAGGGCAGCAACAUCAAUACCGUUAAAUAUAGCCGAAGGAUAUGGAAAGAAAGAAUCAGAGGCAGAUUUUAAGAGGUAUUUAAAGAUAGCGCUUGGAUCAAGCAAUGAAAUAGAAGUAUUACUAGACUUAAGUUAUGACUUAGGAUAUAUAGAUAAGACAUUGCAUAACGAACUAAUAGAAGAAUACACAGCUUUAAGGAAGCAAAUAUACACGAUGAUAAAGAAGUGGAGAGUAUCCGACAUCUGACUUCCGACAUCUGACUUCUGUUUGGGGUAGGGGAGCGUACUGUACGGGUAGAAGGCCAAGCGGAAGCGAGGCUGGACUGUACAGUAGAGAGAAUGCCGGCAUGAGUAACGAGAGUAAGGUGAGAAACCUUACCGCCGGAAGCCUGAGGUUUCCUGGGGAAGGGUAAUCCACCCAGGGUAAGUCGGGGCCUAAGCCGAGGCUUAAAGCGUAGGCGAUGGGGAACCGGUAGAUAUUCCGGUACCACCGAGGGCCGCAAAGAGAUGCGGGGACGCAGCGAGAUAGGUGGAGCGUGCGGUUGGUAGGGCACGUUCAAUCAGGCACCGAAGGGUACGUAGGCAAAUCCGCGUACUGGCAGGGGUCUGAGAAGGGGAGCCGGAAGGCGAAGCCACCGAAGCAGCUGCCGAGAAAAGCCGCUAUCGAGGCCUGAGGUGCCCGUACUACAAACCGACACAGGUAGGCGAGGAGAGAAUCCACAGGCGAGCGGGAGAACCCUCAUUAAGGAACUCGGCAAAAUGACUCCGUAACUUCGGGAGAAGGAGUGCCGAAAGGCCGCAGAGAAGAGGCCCAAGCGACUGUUUACCAAAAACACAGGUCUCUGCUAAGUCGGAAGACGAAGUAUAGGGGCUGACGCCUGCCCGGUGCUGGAAGGUUAAGGGGAAGUGUGAGAGCACUGAACCGAAGCCCCAGUGAACGGCGGCCGUAACUAUAACGGUCCUAAGGUAGCGAAAUUCCUUGUCGGGUAAGUUCCGACCCGCACGAAAGGCGUAACGACUUGGGCGCUGUCUUGAUGAGGGGCCCGGUGAAAUUGUAGUACUCGUGAAGAUGCGAGUUACCCGCGAUUGGACAGAAAGACCCCGUGGAGCUUUACUGUAGCCUGUCACUGGAUUUUGGUAAUUCUUGUACAGGAUAGGUGGGAGACAGAGAAGGUAGGGCGCCAGCCUUACUGGAGUCGACGUUGGGAUACCACCCUGGGAUUACCGGAAUUCUAACCUAUAGCCGUGAAACCGGCGUAGGGACAAUGGCAGGUGGGCAGUUUGACUGGGGCGGUCGCCUCCUAAAGGGUAACGGAGGCGCCCAAAGGUUACCUCAGCGCGGACGGGAAUCGCGCGAAAGAGUGCAAAGGCAGAAGGUAGCCUGACUGCGAGAGAGACAUCUCGAGCAGGGACGAAAGUCGGGCUUAGUGAUCCGGCGGCAGUGAGUGGGAACGCCGUCGCUCAACGGAUAAAAGCUACCCCGGGGAUAACAGGCUGAUCUCCCCCAAGAGUCCACAUCGACGGGGAGGUUUGGCACCUCGAUGUCGGCUCAUCGCAUCCUGGGGCUGAAGUAGGUCCCAAGGGUUGGGCUGUUCGCCCAUUAAAGCGGUACGCGAGCUGGGUUCAGAACGUCGUGAGACAGUUCGGUCCCUAUCCGUCGCGGGCGUAGGAAACUUGAGAGGCACUGCCCCUAGUACGAGAGGACCGGGGUGGACGAACCGAUGGUGUACCAGUUGCACCGCCAGGUGCACAGCUGGGUAGCCAAGUUCGGAAGGGAUAAACGCUGAAAGCAUCUAAGCGUGAAGCCCGCCUCAAGAUUAGGUUUCCCAUCCGAGAGGGGUAAGACACCUCGAAGACUACGAGGUAGAUAGGCCGGGGGUGUAAGAGUGGAAACACUCUUAGCUGACCGGUACUAAUCAGUCGAGGACUUGACCGA